AGAGUUUGAUUAUGGCUCAGGAUGAACGCUAGCUACAGGCUUAACACAUGCAAGUCGAGGGGCAGCAUGGGGUAGCAAUACUCAGAUGGCGACCGGCGCACGGGUGAGUAACACGUAUCCAACCUGCCGCUUACUCGGGGAUAGCCUUUCGAAAGAAAGAUUAAUACCCGAUGGUAUAAAGAGUUCGCAUGUUCUCUUUAUUAAAGAAUUUCGGUAAGCGAUGGGGAUGCGUUCCAUUAGAUAGUUGGCGGGUAACGGCCCACCAAGUCUACGAUGGAUAGGGGUUCUGAGAGGAAGGUCCCCCACAUUGGAACUGAGACACGGUCCAAACUCCUACGGGAGGCAGCAGUGAGGAAUAUUGGUCAAUGGACGAGAGUCUGAACCAGCCAAAAGUAGCGUGAAGGAUGACUGCCCUAUGGGUUGUAAACUUCUUUUAUAAGGGAAUAAAGUGAGGGACGUGUCCCUUUUUGUGUGUACCUUAUGAAUAAGGAUCGGCUAACUCCGUGCCAGCCGCGGC
rnacentral:rRNA from 1 species